AACGUAGGACGCAAGCGUUAUCCGGAGUUACUGGGCGUAAAGGGUGUGUAGGCGGUUAUUUAAGUUUGGUGUGAAAUCUCCCGGCUCAACCGGGAGGGUGCGCCGAAUACUGAAUGACUUGGAGUGCGGGAGAGGAAAGUGGAAUUCCUGGUGUAGCGGUGAAAUGCGCAGAUAUCAGGAGGAACACCGAUUGCGAAGGCAGCUCGCUGGGACGUUACUGACGCUGAGACGCGAAAGCGUGGGGAGCAAACAGG
rnacentral:rRNA from 1 species